GUGCACGUUCUGCCGCUGGCGCGCCCCGCAUCCCGCCCGCGGCCGCACCCCGCUUCCCCAUCGUGGCAGCCAUCUCCUCAACCGUCGCGGGAUCCCCGCCCUUCCCUCGAAACCCCGCCCCGCGCCCCUCCCUGAGCUCUGUCGCGUCAUCCCUGCCUUGUCCCCUUCCUCCCACUCCGACGCACACGAGGAAGCUGUUAACCAGCGCCGCCACUUCCACCGAGUCCCUCGUGGCGCUUGAGGCCCGCUGUCUCUCCCCCCGCUGUCGAGGCUCGCGCCGGCUAGAGGUCCACGCUCCCCCCCCCCAGAGAUAGCUCCCUCCCCGAGGAGCUGAAGGCAGCGGCGUCACGGGGGCUGCGGUAGGAGCUCGACACCGAGCGGGAGUUCGCGGAGACGGCAGCCAGAUCCGGAUCGACCCUCUUCGCCUUAUUCGAGCUCCUGGGGCUCGCAGAUAAAGGGGCCGACCGGGUCGCUGGAGCCCUCCUACGACGAGGCCCUGUGGCCGGAUGAGGAGGCCGGCGUCGACGCGGCGGAGGCCGCGCCGGCGGAAGCGGACGAUGGCAUCGAGGUCUGCUGCUUCGACAAUCGCGGUGUCGGCCACAGCUCCGUGCUCCCCAACAAAUCCUACUACUCGACGGCAAUCAUGGCGACGGAUGCCUUGGCCUUGAUGGAUCAUUUGGGGUGGAAGAAGGCUCACGUCUUCGGCCACUCCAUGGGUGCCAUGAUUGCUUGCAAGCUAGAUGUGAUGGCACCUCACAGGCUAUGUUCGCUGGCAUUGCUUAAUGUCACCAGAGGUGGCUUUCAGUGCUUCCCAAAGGUAGACGCGCAGAUGCUAUCUCUUGCAUUCCGUUUCUUAAGGGCAAAAACUCCAGAGGAAAGAGCCCUUGUGGACCUGGAAACACAUUAUACAAAGGUAUUACACUCCCUGAGCUCCAUCGCGUCAUCCCUGCCCUGUCCCCUUCCUCUUCCCACUCCGACGCACACAAGGAAGCCAUUAACCAGCGCCUCCACUUCCACCUCAAAGCUACUCGUGGCGCUUGAGGCCCGCUGUCCCUCCCCCCGCUGCCGAGGCUCGUGCCGGCUGGAGGUCCACGCUCGCACCCCCCAGAGAUUGCUCCCUCCCCGAGGAGCUGAAGGCAGUGGCAUCGCGGGGGUUGCGGUAGGAACUCGAAACCCAGUGGGGGUCUGUGGAGAUGGCAGCCAGAUCCGACUCGACCCUCUUCGCCUUAUUCGAGCUCCUCACGCUCCCGACCUUCUCCAAGGUACGCACUCCACCCUUCAGCGUCCUGCUUUGUUACACCGGGACCCACUAUUGGACUUGGGUUAGGGUUUUGGUUGAGAAGAACAGCUUUGCCCCCCCCACACACACACCCACACUAAGGCAACAUCUGACCUACGCUCACUGGCUACCCCCCCCUCCAUCUGCAGCAAUAUAGUCGUCUUUCCUCAUAUGCUGACGUAAUUGUGCCUGUCGUGCAUUAUCGUAAUGGUUGGCCUACAAUGCUGAGCGUUUGACCAUAUAAAAUAUAUACGGCUACUAACGUUUGUACCAUUCUGAAAACUAAAAUUUGUUGAGGUUAGCACUGUUAAUUUUGCUGCAGAUAUCUAUUAUGUGAAGCCUUACCCCUGUGAUGUGUAUGCCACUAUGAACUUUUAUUGAACAACAAAGAGUAGUGUAAUGUUCUAUUGUAGUUUCUUUUCGUUCUCUUAUGUUUAUGUUGCAGGCUCCAGGCUGCAUAGACAAAAGUGUUGUAACCAGAUCUAUUCUUAAUGGUGAUAGUGAACUGAAUAUAUUUUCACAAUUAGUCUAGAUUUAUGGAUGUGUGCCUUUCUUUUCGGAUGGAUUUUGCUACCACUCUAAAACAUAAGAGACAAGAGUUUAGUGUGCCUGAGCUUAUUGGGUCUCUUGAUGUUGAGGAGAGGGUGAGAGCAAAAGACACUUGUGGGAAAGGAGGUGAGACUUCUAGUGCCAAUAUGGUACAAAAGAACUCCAAUGCGUCACAUAAAACCAUGAAGCCCAAGCAGGCAACCUUGUUUAAAAAGAAGAACAAAGGAGUUGGUUGCUUUGUUUGUGGGAGUAUUGAUCAAUGGGCAAGCGCUUGUCCAGACCGCAAAUUUAAGCAAGAGAAAAAACCAGCUCAAGAGAAGAAAACAACAAACAUGGUUGUUAGCGAUACCGCAGAAGGAACAUCAGGUGCAAAGGGGCUGGAACAUUGCUGAUGGGGAACGGAUCACAUGCGUGUGUUCUUAGUGUUGGUACAGUCAUUCUGAAGUUUACUUCGGGAAAGACGGUGCUAUUGAAGAAUGUGCAGCAUGUCCCCUCCAUCAACAAGAAUCUUGUUAGUGGCUCAUUGCUAUGUCGAGAUGGCUAUAAACUUGUGUUUGAGUCCAAUAAAUGUAUACUAUCAAAGUAUGGGACAUUUGUUGGAAAAGGCUAUGACAGUGGAGGCUUGUUCUGCUUAUCUUUGCAUGAUGUUUGCAAUAAGUCUGUGAACAAUGUGAUUUCGAACGAGUCAUAUAUUUGGCAUUCA